GAUGAACGCUAGCGGCAGGCUUAAUACAUGCAAGUCGAACGGUGUCUUCGGACAUAGUGGCGCACGGGUGCGUAACACGUAUGCAACCUACCUUACAUUGGGGGAUAGCCUUUCGAAAGGGAGAUUAAUACCGCAUAAGACCGUAGCUGGGCAUCCAGCAGCUGUUAAAGAUUUAUCGAUGUAAGCUGGGCAUGCGUCCAAUUAGCUAGUUGGUGAGGUAACGGCUGACCAAGGCAAUGAUUGGUAGGGGAACUGAGAGGUCAAUCCCCCACCCGGGCCCUGGGAUACGGGCCAGACUCCUACGGGAGCCAGCAGUAGGGAAUAUUGGGCAAUGGACGCAAGUCUGACCCAGCCAUGCCGCGUGCAGGAUGAAGGCGUUAUGCGUUGUAAACUGCUUUUAUACAGGAAGAAACGACUCUUGCGAGAGGCAUUGACGGUACUGUAUGAAUAAGCACCGGCUAACUCCGUGCCAGCAGCCGCGGUAACAC
rnacentral:rRNA from 1 species